rnacentral:rRNA from 1 species
AAACAUGUCUUUUUGUAAUAAUUUAAAGUUUAAUCUGCCCACUGAUAUUAUUAAAGGGCUGCAGUAUUUUGACUGUACAAAGGUAGCAUAAUCAUUUGUCUCUUAAUUGGUGACUUGUAUGAAAGAUUGAAUGAAAUAUGAACUGUCUCAAUUUAAUUUAUAAAAUUUAAUUUUUUAGUCAAAAAGCUAAAAUAAAUUUAAAAGACGAGAAGACCCUAUAGAGUUUUAUAAUUAUAUUAAUUAUAAUAAAAUAUAAAUUUUUUAAUUAAAAUUAAUAUAAUUAUUUUGUUGGGGUGACAAAAAAAUUAAAUUAACUUUUUUUAAAAAAUUUACAUUAAUUUAUGAUUUUAUGAUCCAUUUUUAGUGAUUAAAAGAAAAAAUUACCUUAGGGAUAACAGCGUAAUUUUUUUUUUUAGAUCAAAUAAAAAAAAAAGUUUGCGACCUCGAUGUUGGAUUAAGAUAAAAUUUAAAUGCAAAAGUUUAAAAUUUUUGAUCUGUUCNAUCAUUAAAAUCUUA